rnacentral:rRNA from 1 species
CCGGGAUGAGCUCAAAUUUGAAAUCUGGCGUCUUUCAGGCGUCCGAGUUGUAAUCUAUAGAGGCGUUUUCCGCGCCGGACCGCGUCCAAGUCUCUUGGAAUAGAGUAUCAAAGAGGGUGACAAUCCCGUACUUGACGCGACAACCGGUGCUCUGUGAUACGUUCUCAACGAGUCGAGUUGUUUGGGAAUGCAGCUCUAAAUGGGUGGUAAAUUCCAUCUAAGGCUAAAUAUUGGCGAGAGACCGAUAGCGAACAAGUACCGUGAGGGAAAGAUGAAAAGCACUUUGGAAAGAGAGUUAAACAGCACGUGAAAUUGUUAAAAGGGAAACGAUUGAAGUCAGUCGUGUGAAAGGUAUUCAGCCGUCUCUGGCGGUGUAUUUGCCUUUCACGGGUCAACAUCAGUUUAGUCCGGUAGAAAAAGGCUGGAGGAAGGUGGCACCCUCGGGUGUGUUAUAGCCUCCUGUCACAUGUGCCGGAUUAGACUGAGGAACG